UGUGUAAUUGCUGGAUCAUAUGGUAAAAUUAUUUUUAAGAAACUGCUGAACUGUUUUCUAAAGUGUCUGUACCAUUUUACAUUCCCACCAGCAAU
rnacentral:pre_miRNA from 1 species